rnacentral:rRNA from 1 species
AUUGAACGCUGGCGGAAUGCUUUACACAUGCAAGUCGAACGGCAGCACGGUGGCAACCCUGGUGGCGAGUGGCGAACGGGUGAGUAAUACAUCGGAACGUGCCCGGUCGUGGGGGAUAACGUAGCGAAAGUUACGCUAAUACCGCAUUCGAUCUGAGGAUGAAAGCGGGGGACCUUCGGGCCUCGCGCGCUCGGACCGUCGGAUGUCAGAUUAGGUAGUUGGUGGGGUAAAGGCCUACCAAGCCGACGAUCUGUAGCUGGUCUGAGAGGACGACCAGCCACACUGGGACUGAGACACGGCCCAGACUCCUACGGGAGGCAGCAGUGGGGAAUUUUGGACAAUGGGCGCAAGCCUGAUCCAGCCAUUCCGCGUGCAGGACGAAGGCCUUCGGGUUGUAAACUGCUUUUGUAUGGAACGAAAAGGCUCUGGCUAAUACCUGGGGCUCAUGACGGUACCGUAAGAAUAAGCACCGGCUAACUACGUG